CAUGCAAGUCGAGCGGUAACAGGGAGUCGUCACCGUUCCUUGUACACACCUAGCGCGAUUAUCGUAGGUUGUUUGACUUCGAGGGGAACAGUGAGAUUCUGCUGACGAGCGGCGGACGGGCUGAGUAAACGCGUGGGAAGGGACCCCCAAAAGUGAGGGGAUAACGCAUCGAAAGGUGUGCUAAUACCGCAUAUGAUCUUCGGAUUAAAGCUUUUGCGCUUUGGGACUGGCCUGCGUACGAUUAGAUAGUUGGUAGGGUAAUGGCCUACCAAGUCGACGAUCGUUAGAUGGUUUGAGAAGAUGAUCAUCCAGACUGGGACUGAGACACGGCCCAGACUCCUACGGGAGGCAGCAGUAGGGAAUCUUUCACAAUGGGCGAAAGCCUGAUGGAGCAACGCCGCGUGCAGGAUGACGGCCUUCGGGUUGUAAACUGCUUUUAUAUCCGAGAAAUAUGAUGGUAAGAUAUGAAUAAGGACCGGCUAACUACGUGCC
rnacentral:rRNA from 1 species